CUGGCACAGUAUUCUGCUGUCUUGUGGUAGCCAUGAACUCAAAUAUACUUAAAACAAAACAUUCUAUCAAACUAUGAGCUGUUGGAGGAGUAAAAGCAUGGAAUGUAUCAGCAGAUCCUAAAAUUGAAGUCUAAGCCAAAUAACUCAGCUGACCUGGGCAGAUGUCUACCUGGCAAAAUGUCUAAUUAUCUCUAGUACCUAACAGCCCCAUACUUCUUUGAACGACCAAAUGGAAAAAUAAACAAGCAUCAGGAUCUAAAGAAAACAAAUACAAAAAGCAGGUCUGUGUGGAAGAACUUGAGUAGUACUUGACCAAGGGAACGACAAACAAGGGAGAAAGUAGAACUGGAGAGAUAAGAGUAAAGGGAAGGAGAAACAGUAGUUAAAGGGCCAUGUUUAGGGAAGGAGGUCUGUUGGGCUAAGCUGCCUUCAUCCAGGUUGAAAUUCUCUCCCUUUGAAUCCUUAGAUUCCCAAAAGUGAAAGUGAGAUGGGCACAAAGAUGGCUAUUGAAGUGUCCUUCCACCAUAUUGAUGGGGCUUUUGCAUACGGAAAUGAAAAAAGAAGUUGGACAGGCAAUCUGAGUGAAGAUUGCAGAUGGGACAGUGACCAGAGAGGACAUAUUCUACCCGGAGAAGCUUUGGAAUAUGUACCGCCACCCAGAAAUGGUCAGGCCUGCC
rnacentral:lncRNA from 1 species